AAAACAUGAGGUGGCUGCGUGCAAAAGAUUUCCAUUUCUUGGAAGAAUUCUUUCUCCUUUCAAACCAAAACAGCUAAAACGCUAAUGGUUUGGGGUUUGAAGCUGGCUCAUUAGCGGCAAAGAAAGGGAGGAUGAAGGAAGGCGUUGCCACCGGGUGAUCUGAAUGCUACAUCUCUAUUUUGAAAACCUUUUUUUAUGGUCAAUUUUAAAUGGAAAGGUCAUUGUGAAUUCAGAAGCUGAAAAUGUCAUUACGAACAUAGAAGCUGAAACAUUUGAAAUUCUCUGAAUGUUUUCCGCCCCCCCCCUUUUACUGAAGCACUCUAUGGGACUUUGACCUGGAGUCGUGAACAUCUUUGGUUAACUCAGAACUGGAUUUCCCAGUGGUUUUAUUACUUGGAAAAAAAUAUUCACCUGCUCUGUGCAAUCUAAUUUCUGUGGGGUUCAUGUUCAUCAUUUAUAGCUUGACUGCAAGAGGUGACCCGUGCCAGAUGCUGCAGAACAAGGACUGGACAAUUUUAGAACAUCCUGGACAAGAAGAAAGAUUUCUCCCAGUAUUAGGUUGAAAUGCAAGUUUGGCCUAGCUUCUGAAAUGCAUGGGGGAAAAAGAAGGGAGAGGCUGUACUUCAUAAAUUCUCCUUCAUGUGGAUCUGAAACUGAGAUAUUUCUUUCCCACAUGAAUGCACAGCUAUUUUCCCUCCUUUUAAAAAUGAUCAUUAAAAAAAAAAAUAUUGUGAAACAAAGGUUUUUGGUCAUUAAAAGGACAGAAAAAGCUCUGUUGUGACUGCUGGCAAAAACUGGGCUGCAGCUAAUGCUGAGCAGUCAGCUCCCAGUUAUCCUGGUCAUCUGCUUUCUUACAGCUCCUCAGAGCGCUCCUCAUAUGGGAAUAUCUGUUUUUUUCAGUCAUAACUGUUAUUGCCUGGCCCUGAGGGAGUUGAGUAAAUUAAUUGAAUUGCUCAAUUUUAUUUACUUUGUUUCUCUUUUUUAAAGCAAAACAGCCCAUAUUUCAAAAUCCCUUUGUAAUGGAUUAAAACACGAAAGAGUCCCUCGAAGUCCAUACAAACAUGCCAAAUCAAUUACAGCAUAAUUAGCCAGAACUGUUAUUUGUUGAAAUCCUGUCAGCAAAAAUAACUUGCCAUUCCCCUUCAAAUUGCUCCAUCAUCUUCAUUUUCUUGACAAAGAUUUUGAAAGUAAGACCACCGACCCUCCAGACUGAAGGAAGGGAAUUAAAUACAGAUGUUCUAAGCAUUAUAAACCAAGGAAUGUUGGAAAAUGGUGGAAAAAGAGAGGACAAAGCUGGCCUGAGUGAACUGUGGCUGCCCUCCCAGGGCAGGAUGGGAGCCUUGGGCGGGCAGGCAGGCAGCACUCAUGGGGCAGGCUGGACCCUGUUUGCCCUGGUGUGAUGCUGCAAGCUGCUGCCCCUGAUUUAAGCCAGCACAGACAGAAGGAGGCCCACUUCUGGCAAGCUUUAUCUGCAAUUCAUUUAGGAAGGAGGCAGGUCCUCUCUUCAGACCUAAUUGGAAACAGGCAGCCUUCUCCUAAUUGUGUGCUCUAACUGGUUCAUGUGCAUUAGCAAAGGAAAUUGUAGAGGAACAGGGUUCUGAGUUGUCAUUAAUUUCCUGGACUGGAAAGUCCAUACAUUGGGAACAUCGGCUGUUUAUACAUACAUCUUUCACACUGUUCUGCUCCUUUGUGUAGAAGCUUGACCCCAGCUGAAAGCAUCAUGACUUUUUUUUUCUGCUCAAAUUCUAAACAAGUAUGUAGAAAGUCAGUGAGUUUCCGAAGGGGUUCCUCAUAACCUGCUUUACUUUAAUUAAAAAACAAAAUCAAAACAACAAAAACUUAAUGUCAAAAGACAGCUGCUAAAUUCAUUUUUACAUUCCUCCAAAAUACCUUUUAAUGUUUGAUUGUGUCCACCUGCAGGGAAUGCUGUAAGAAAGUGGUCUGUUUCAGUUAAAAUGAUGCAAAAAUAUCCAUUUGUGGCAGCUGAAGCAAAAGGUGGCUUCUAGGGCUACCAUUUUCCUCUGGGCAGGGUGGUGGUUGUGGUGGUAGUGGGUAAAAAUGUUGGCUCUGCCUUUGUGCCAAAGGCACCUGGCUACCCAGUAAAGCCUUCAUGGGAAAGCUUUGCUGAGGUGGCUGCUCUGUCCUAACUCAGGUCAAACUUGGAACAUUUGAACCGAUGUGAAUGCACAAGUCAAAUGUUCACGUUCUUAAUGUGCGUCCUGUAGCUCCUUUAGUAUCAACCCUCUCUUAAGUUAAGCCUUCAAGGUGUUUGGGCAUUGCUUUACUGGAACUUGAAGCUGGUUCCACGCAUCCUGAAGCCUUUGGAGACUUCAGAACCUGGUGCAACCAGUCUGGAAGGAUACCAAGCCAAAGGAGCUGAUCCCAGCAACUCCUGCGCAUAGUCCUGCAUUGCAGACUGUGGUGUAUGGAGGUCUGUGGGACACCCUGCUGCAUUUCCUACUUUUCUACAAUGCAAGACACCAGAGUUCAGAUCCACAUAUGGAGCAAAGCUGUGUUUGUUUAUAUACCUACUCAAUAAAAGCUGUUACU
ensembl:lncRNA